CGCGCUUAACACAUGCAAGUCGAGCGAGAACCGGGGCUUCGGCCCCGGGGACAGCGGCGAACGGGUGAGUAACACGCGGGAAUAUGCCCGUCGGUUCGGAAUAACACAGGGAAACUUGUGCUAAUACCGGAUACGAUCUACGGCUGAAAGAUUCAUCGCCGAAGGAGUAGCCCGCGUAGGCUUAGCUAGUUGGUGAGGUAAUGGCUCACCAAGGCGACGAUCCUUAGCUGGUCUGGGAGGAUGAUCAGCCACACUGGGACUGAGACACGGCCCAGACUCCUACGGGAGGCAGCAGUGGGGAAUAUUGGACAAUGGGCGAAAGCCUGAUCCAGCCAUGCCGCGUGAGUGAUGAAGGCCUUAGGGUUGUAAAGCUCUUUCGCCAGGGAAGAUAAUGACGGUACCUGGAAAAGAAGCCUCGGCUAACUCCGUGCCAGCAGCCGCCGUAAAAC
rnacentral:rRNA from 1 species